AAGGCCUCUUCCUCAUCUUCUCUCUGCUCAAUCUGCUUCAUGUUGCAACUUCACAGACAAGUACCAUGGACAAACUGAAUGCAGCACAUGUGAAACACUCAAAGGUUUGUUCUUGGAAAUUUCUGGAUUUAAUGAAGAAGCACUCUCAGGGAGCAGUAGAAGAACUAGUUAGAAAUAAGUCAUCACACAAGAGAAGAGUUGAAAUCGUUUCAGAUGUACUUGAUGAAGUCAAAGAUCAGCUUGAUUAUGUUUUGGAGCUGGUGGGGGAAGUGUCUGAUGAGUCUGAACUGAAGGAGAGGAUAAAGGAUUUCUUGGAGAAAACCAUGACUUACACAAACCAAAAUAUGGAGAGCUACACUGAACAACUACAUGACACUGAAGAAAGACUGCAAGAAAGUCUCAAAAUAUGCUUGGAGAAGUCUAGAGAUGAGUGACUGUAACAGUUUAAUAUUCUGUGCAGGUUUAAUUUUUGUGAAAUACUGGUUUCCUCUCUGUUUUUAAUAUGUAUCUGGGUGGUAUGAUAUGACACAAAACAUCUCAAUGCAUGCUCUUUGAUAUAUAUAUACUUUUCUUAGCACUUCUUGUAAAGAUAAAGUUACUGUUAUGUAACCUUUUAUUGCAGUGAUUAAAGAGAUUGAUUUGUUAAGUUUAGUUGAACUCCUAACUAGUGGUUCAUUUUCUGUUAAUCACUUCUGUAAUUAAACCAUUUCACAUGAGUAUAACCUGUUGUUUAUAUACAUACUAAU